CAGCAUGCUCCACUCCCUCUCCAGUAGAAACGAGAUCAUGCCCAGCAGUAGUCUCUUCAAACAAAAGCGCCUUACGUGCUUUAUUAUUCCCACCACUGGCUUCCGCCUCAGCCCCUAUUGGGCCUUCCUCUCUUAAAUACUUACCCACCCCUUUGAAAGCAUCGAACAUCAGUUUUGUGGGAUCAGGUAGCUGCUGUUCUCCUUCCGCAACAGAAGCAAGUUGCUGGCCCCGAUGUACCAUCCCCCUAGGCUGAGGACCACGAGACUGCAUACCACGUCUCCUAUCUCCAUAUCCGGAACCCCUACCAUUUAGUGAGGACCCAUCACCAACACCUCUAGUGAACUUUCCCUUAUAAGGAUGAAAAGGCCCGUCUUGCUUGGAGCUCCCAUGUUUCUCAUACGCAAUACCUUUGCCCUUAUCACCACCUCUGAUGUUUUGUGAACGAGUUUCCCUUAUAACAAAUAUUAGUUUAUAAUGAUGGAAAGUUUGUGAUUAAAAAUUUAUUGAACUUUUAAAAUUUAUAUCCACUAAAAGGCUGGUGGAGUUACUGGGGUAGAUGGAGAUGUCGGAUUGUUUGGACCUCUUGGAACUUUUCUUUCAUUUCAAAAUUUGCUACAGAAGCUGGUGGAGUAGGCGGUCGUGUGAUAACCCAUCUCUUUAUUUCAAUAUCUUUUGUAAAAGCUGGUGAGGUUAUUGGGGUAGGUGGAGAUGUCAUAUUGUUUGGACUUCUUGGAACCUUUCUCUUCGAUCCAAUACUUGUUAAACUUUCGUGACUAGCUAAAGAUAACGUAAUAAAUAAGAACAGAAACACCAGGAGAACCAAUGAAUACCUUUUUUAUUAUUUCCACUACUCCACCAGAAAUGAGCUAAAGUGCUCGUAAUUUUUUUGGUAAUCCCUUUGGGGAGCCUGUAACAAGACAUCACAAAAGUUGGCAUGGGUGACGCAGCUGAUUUUAUUAAGACCUCCUUACCCCCUUUUGUAAGAAAGCGGACUGUCCAACUAUUCACUUUAUUGUGUACCCUCUCAUUUAGAAACCCAAAUAUCUGUAUUUUUGAACCUCCAAGACUCUCCGGAAUCCCCAAAUAAUUCCCCAUUCCCCCAAGAUUUGUAAUGCCUAAGAGAUUGUGGAUGGCCUUCCUCAGAUCCACAGGAACCUUAUGUCCAAAUAGAAUCGAUGAUUUAGAAAAAUUAAUUUGUUGUCCUGACACCAUUUCAUAAUCUCUGAGUAAUUGUAGGAUAACACUACAUUCCUCCAUCGUUGCCUUACAAAAAAAUAAACUAUCAUCCGCAAAUAAAAGAUGGGAAAUUGAUGGGCUUGCCCGUGCAAUUUUUAGCCCUGUUAAUCGUUUUAACCUUUCUUCUUUCCUAAUGUUGGCAAUAAGGGCUUCUGUACAGAGGAUGAAUAAAUAUGGAGAUAACGGGUCCCCUUGCCGCAAACCUCUUUCUGGGACUAUAAAACCUUUUGGUUGUCCAUUUAAUAAGACCUUAUAACUAACUGAUGAUAUACACUGCAUCAUCAAAGCCACCCACUCCAUAGAAAAACCCAUUUUCAGUAGAAGGCGCUGUAAAAAAGACCACUCAACCCUAUCAUACGCCUUACUCAUAUCCGUCUUGAUCGCUAAAAAUUUUCCCUUGCACGAAUUAUUUGUUCUUAACCCAUGGAACAUUUCCUGCGCAAUGAGAAUAUUAUCCGAAAUUAGCCUUCCAGAAACAAAUGCCGAUUGGGUCUCUGAAAUAAGAUUUGGUAACAAGCCUUUUAACCUCUGACAUAGCACCUUUGAAAUAAUUUUAUAUCCAACAUUACACAAACUUAUCGGUCUAAGUUCAGUCAUUCGAUUUGGCCUCGCUGUCUUUGGAAUAAGACAAAUAUUUGUCACAUUCAGUCUUCCAUCAAAACUCCCCGUUCGCAAAAAAUCAUUGACCAUAUCAACCACAUCUCCCUUUAUUAUCGACCAGGACUGUUGGUAAAAAAGCGCAGUCAUUCCGUCAGGACCUGGUGCUUUUUCCGGCUGCAUCAUAAAUAGUGCAGCCUUGACCUCGUCUUCGGUAGCAUCAGCCAUUAGCCGGAGAUUCUGGGCUUCCGUCACUGAGGUUGGUACCUCUUCCAAAAAACCAUCAAACUCAGAUGGCAAAGUUGAUCGAAACAAAUCUGUAAAAUACUUAACCGCCACCUCUUCCACUUCCGUCUCUGUGUUCACCCAAUUUCCUUCCUCAUUAUGGAGACCAAUAAUUCUAUUCUGGAUACGCCUUUGUUUUGUCAAAGCAUGAUAAAAUUUUGUAUUUCUAUCCCCACAUGUAUGCCAUUUAGUUCUACAUUUUUGCUCCCAAUAUUGCUCCUCAUCACGAUACGCCUCUUGCAAUUUCCGUGAAACCUCUAAGACCUCUUCAUUUGAUUUAGAAAAAUCGUUCUGAAUUUCCUCAAGAGCCUCUUGAAGAGAAUUAAUUUUCUCUUUCCCAUAUGGCGGAUUCUGUUCCCUCUAGGUUGAGAUCUCAUGUCUACACCAAUGAAUUCUAUCCACAAUUCCAUUCCUAUCCCAUACACGUCUAGAGUUCCAUCCUCGUGUAAUUGAGUCCAUAAGUCCUUCUUGUCCUACCCAUCUCUUAUCAAAGCGGAAAGAUUUCCUAAAUUUAAUGACUUUAUCAUCAAUCGUUGCGACUAUCGGUCGAUGAUCCGACCCUACCAUACGUAAAUACUCGACGAAAGAGUAUGGAAACAGAUUAUGCCAAUCAUUAUUCCCAAGUGCCCGGUCCAGACGACAUUUUACCACUUGACGAUGUCUCCGACCACUCCAUGAUAAAGUAUUACCAACACUAGGAAAUUCCAUUAAGCCACAAUUAUCUAUCAUAUUAUUAAAAUCUACAAAUGUAUCUGGAUGCCGAAGGUUACCACCUUCUUUUUCAUGAUUGCCUCUAAUCUCAUUUAAAUCUCCAAUAAUAAACCACGGUUCCAAACGGGCGAUACCUAUCCUUGUUAAUCUCUCCCAAACUGGUGCUCUUAGGUCCUGCUUUGGUUCCCCAUAAACAAAGGACAAGAAAAUUCGUUUUCCUUUAUAUUCUGUUUCAAUAUCUAAAAUUCGGUUACUAGACGAAAUAAUAUUGACCUUAUAACUAGAGUCAUAAUAUAACGCCAAGCCUCCACUUCUUCCCUGGGGAUCAACCGUAUGGAGAUGAGUAAACCCAAAAUGAAAUUGGAAAGAUUGAACAAACUCAAAAUUUUGUUUUGUUUCCGACAAAAACAAAAAAGUUGGUCGAUGCUUAUAAUAUAUUUCCCGUAAAUAACUUAUAGUCCAACUAGUUCCGAGACCUUGACAAUUCCAACUUAUAAUCUUCAUAUGUUAAAAAACCUUUACGUGAUACCACUCCAUAUAAACUAUAACCAAACAUUAUACCACCUGUAAACCUUACCAUUAAAACAGGCCAUAUUGUCUCCAUACAAAAAUUAAUUUCAUCUAGCCAACUAACGGGCCAUAAAACAACAGAUUGUCGAGACCACCAUAUAAUCAUGCAUGAAAAACCUGAGACAAACCAACUCAAACCAUCAAAAUUACUUCCUGCCUCGGAAGACAACCCCUUAACGGCAAACUCCGCCACCGAAGACACCAUAGGAACGACUUGCCAACCAAAAUCAUACCGGAGAAAUAGAGCAGAGAAACCAUUGAAACUCAUAUAACCAAGAAAUAAGAAUCUCCUCACCUGUUGUUCCAAAGCAUCACUUAAACCAAAAUUAUCCCAAAUCCAUAACUGGACGAUACCAACAAAGCUCCAUCCCCUCAUCCAUAAAAGUUUACUCUCUGGCACAAAUGAAAACCCCAAACCAACCACCAACACUAUUAUCAUUAUGGUUAGCGCAACACCAUCGAACAAAAAACGAUUCGAAAAAGCCACAAAGCACAUAACAUGAAGACACAGUAGCUUAACAAACCUAUAACCCCAACUAGAACCUUGUCUCCGAAAGAUCAACAUUAAACUACUUCCAAAAGAUGACCAUAGCCACCACCUCAGAACCACAGCAUAACACAACCUGCCUCCUGCCAAAUACUGAUCACUCGAGCAGAUUCCAUAGACAUAAUACCAGACAUCGCACCAAACAUUACAAACCCUAUCACCCCAAAAGAGUCCACCAUAACCAGAAAAAAGAGAACCACCACAAAAUAUCCAAGUAGGCCAGCUAAUAGCCUUAAAGGGGUGUCUAGUAUCAAAUUUAAAAUAUAUAUUAGAACUAAAAUAUACCUGAAUGAAAGGCAAACGCAUCCACCACACAACAUGGCUCCUGACUCCAAGAUGUAAACAGACCAACCAGUUAUUAAUAGAACACUUCACCCAGUCCAAAAGCAACACAAUAACAAAGUAAAACCAUACCCUGGUAACACCCAAGGGAUUAACAAAGAAACAAACCAAAUGACUAAAACAGCACCCUGUUUCAAAGGAUUUCAUAAAAGAAUCCGACAUUAUUUAAAAAACCAGAAAACAAAAACCGUGGCCUGCAACACCUUUACUUCACUAAGCACUAUGGCUUAUUUGAGGCCUUCUUAGCUCCUUUAUCUCCAGCCUUAGCCACCUUAGCAAGGAGCUUCUUACGUGGAGAGACGAAACCUGGCCCUGACCGCUUCUUUGGAGCUCCCCCAUUCCCCGCCUUAACACCUUUCUUCAAAGGAGCCUUUCCUGGAUCAGCCACAUCAGUCUCGCCAGCAUCAGCCUCCAGAACAGCUUGCUCCCCCUCCUCUACUCCUUCACCAACAUGUUCUUCCUCUUCCAUACCAUCAGUGAUCUCGCCAUGCUCCCAGUCCUCUAGUUCCUCUCCCUCCUCUAACAGAAGCUCUGAGUCAGAGAGAAGCUCGCCCUCUAACAUCAUAUUAGCCUCAUCCAACGCCUGUUUGUGCAAGGCCCUCUCAUCAUCCUUCUUCACUGCAUCAUCAUCCUCACUCUGCAUCUUCAACACCAGAUUUCCAGCAUGCUCCACUCCCUCUCCAGUAGAAACGAGAUCAUGCCCAGCAGUAGUCUCUUCAAACAAAAGCGCCUUACGUGCUUUAUUAUUCCCACCACUGGCUUCCGCCUCAGCCCCUAUUGGGCCUUCCUCUCUUAAAUACUUACCCACCCCUUUGAAAGCAUCGAACAUCAGUUUUGUGGGAUCAGGUAGCUGCUGUUCUCCUUCCGCAACAGAAGCAAGUUGCUGGCCCCGAUGUACCAUCCCCCUAGGCUGAGGACCACGAGACUGCAUACCACGUCUCCUAUCUCCAUAUCCGGAACCCCUACCAUUUAGUGAGGACCCAUCACCAACACCUCUAGUGAACUUUCCCUUAUAAGGAUGAAAAGGCCCGUCUUGCUUGGAGCUCCCAUGUUUCUCAUACGCAAUACCUUUGCCCUUAUCACCACCUCUGAUGUUUUGUGAACGAGUUU
rnacentral:lncRNA from 1 species